UUUCCGUAGGUGAACCUGCGGAAGGAUCAUUAUUGUAUAACCGAGGUGCGAGGGCUGUCGCUGACCCGAAAGGUCGUGCACGCCCGAGUGCCCUCACACACAUUCAUCUCACCCCCAUGUGCACCACCGCGUGGGUCCCCCUUUGGCUUGUUCGGAGGGGGGCUUACGUUUUCACACAAACUUUGUAUGCAGUGUAGAAUGUAUUUUUUGUUUUUGCGAUCACGCAAUCAAUACAACUUUCAACAACGGAUCUCUUGGCUCUC
rnacentral:misc_RNA from 1 species